rnacentral:rRNA from 1 species
CAUUUGCGACAGAUUUUUCGGAAUGAAGUUGCUUAUGACUGAGUGGCAAACGGGUGAGUAACACGUAAACAACCUGCCUUCAGGAUGGGGACAACAGACGGAAACGACUGCUAAUACCGAAUAAGUUCCAAGGGCCGCAUGGCCCGGACGGAAAAGAUUUAUCGGUGUGAGAUGGACCCGCGUUGGAUUAGCUAGUUGGCGGGGUAACGGCCUACCAAGGCGACGAUCCAUAGCCGGCCUGAGAGGGUGAACGGCCACAUUGGGACUGAGACACGGCCCAAACUCC